CGAGCCGAACCAAUAUCACUC
rnacentral:miRNA from 3 species